rnacentral:rRNA from 1 species
AGUGAACGCUGGCGGUAGGCCUAACACAUGCAAGUCGAACGGCAGCACAGUAAGAGCUUGCUCUUACGGGUGGCGAGUGGCGGACGGGUGAGGAAUACAUCGGAAUCUACUUUUUCGUGGGGGAUAACGUAGGGAAACUUACGCUAAUACCGCAUACGACCUACGGGUGAAAGCAGGGGAUCUUCGGACCUUGCGCGAUUGAAUGAGCCGAUGUCGGAUUAGCUAGUUGGCGGGGUAAAGGCCCACCAAGGCGACGAUCCGUAGCUGGUCUGAGAGGAUGAUCAGCCACACUGGAACUGAGACACGGUCCAGACUCCUACGGGAGGCAGCAGUGGGGAAUAUUGGACAAUGGGCGCAAGCCUGAUCCAGCCAUACCGCGUGGGUGAAGAAGGCCUUCGGGUUGUAAAGCACUUUGGUUGGGAAAGAAAAGCAGCAGGUUAAUACCCCGCUGUUCUGACGGUACCCGAAGAAGAAGCACCGGCUAACUUCGUG